rnacentral:lncRNA from 1 species
AAUAUAAUGAAAAUUAAAUGAGCCAGAUUAAAUUUAGAGAAGGUGUUUGGUACCACCUUAAGGGAUUUAGACAUAUCAUUGAAUGUUUGCUAUUUCAUAACUGCUAGCUUAAUCUCAUGGGUAUUUGUUCUCAAGGCAAGAUGUAACAACAUUCUAUUGUUUACAGUUUAUAAAUGGAAUUUCCACGCUUUUUUCACCCACCC